GAGGAGGAAAUGAAUAAACAGAGAUAAGAAAAGUCCUUUUAAGGCACUUCCUUUGAACUGUGCCGCCUACAAGGCGCUUCAGAUAGAACUGCAAUACAAAAACUUUUCCUAAAAAAACCUGUGUGGUCACUUAUACUGGAUGCAACUUCACAAUGAGAGAAUAAGAGUGAAAAACAUUUCCCUUGCUGUGUAGCUGAGUUGCCAAAUUAAUUAAGUAAAAAUAAUUAUAAUAUGUCACAAACCCAGAAGAAUGACGUAUACGGUAACGCUGCAUUGGAGGAAGAACGGAAACACAAAUAGUAGGGAUCAGUAGCAGUAACUGAAAAAAAUUAAAGAACAAAACAAGAAGAUAGUUCUUGGAAGCUCUGCAUUCAGAUCACAGUUCCUUUAAGCACUUUUUAGCAAAAAGCAUUGCCGCUCAGAGACCAUUGGUAAUGGCACAGCUAAAAAUCUUGUAAAUAAAUAAAUAAAUAAAAUAGAUAAAUCAAACAUUCCCUUGAUAAACUUUUCUUGAAACACAUUACAAACCAUACAUAUAUUGUGUCUCUGUCUUCUUUUUUCCUCUGUGAAUUGAUCUCCAUCAAAUGCAAGUGGGUACCAAUUAAAUCCUACUCGUAUCUACUCAGAAGCAUCGAGUUCAGUAGUAAUUAUUUACAUUGUAGGUACAGAUGAUUAAUUUUACUAUCAAACAUGCAAUUUUAGCUGCCUUCCACCCCACCAUCCUCCUAACAACUUGACUGCAUCAUUCACAACACAGUUGCAAGUAAAUAACUACUAUAUGAUUGUAUCUUUCUUCUUACAUUAUUUCCUGCCUACUUAAGGUUUUCAAGUGGAGUGGAGAAAACACCUACUUCAUCAAUGGAGAUGUGGCUUCAUUAGAACUUGGUGGUGGAGAUGGCAAGUUUGGAUUAUGGCUAGAUGCUGAUUUGUACCAUGGUCGGAGUAAUUGCUGCAGCACAUUCAAUAAUGAUAUCUUAUCCAAAAAAGAAGACUUUGUUGUACAGGAUGUAGAAGUAUGGACAUUUGAGUGACAUACUUGCCUUAAAAGUCAGACUCAGAUUUAUGGAGUAUUCCAUGGAUGUUGAAGAUGGGAAUACAGACUGCCUCAAAAAUACAACAUACUUUUCCAGUCCUUAAUUCAGGCCAUAUACUGGUUUUACAAGAAGAUUUAAGGGAGAAAUUGGACAUAGUUCAAUCUUAUUCCUGCCUUGCCAAUGUUCCUACACUAUGGAUGCAAAAUAUUUAUGGGAAGGUAUUUCUGAUAUACAGAUUUGUUCAUAACAAUCUCAUUUUCUGUAACUGUAAAAGGAUACUGUGGGGAAAAAACACAGAGCUAUGUAGUACAUUCCAUGUGUAUUUUUAUUCAGUGAAAGUGAAAACCAAAAAGAGGAGCAAAGUGGUGUUUCCAAACUGCAUUUAGUGGUGGUUUCUAUGACAAAAUAGUAGUCAUCAACUAUACAGCACUUAAAAGGAACAUUUUUUAAAUAAUGUAUUUAUUAUUUGUAUAGUAAUUUUUUUCUGAAAUGUGAUAGGCAUGUUUUUCCUUUUAACAUUUCAAAUUUCAGAAUUUUCUGGAAAGAUGUAUUGAAGUAGAUGUCUUCAGUGCAAUAGUGAUGUAUGGUUCAUUUUCUUAAGGGUUUUUUUAUAUUUUGUUGUGAUUUUUUUUAAUUUUGUAAAAGAAAUACCUAUGUUGCUCUUUUCUAAUUAUUUUACAGAUCUUGGUUUUUGACAGAACACGCUAUUCUGGAUUGUUGGGAUAAGUGCAUUGUCAGCAUUCAUUAUCAGAUAUUCCUAUGUGGUUACGUGGAAAUGUUCGGAGAUCCUGUUUUUAAUUGGUUAGCAAGAUGAGAAAUAGCUUCAAAAAGACCCCCAUGUUGCUGUAGAGCUGAAAAUGGUUUUUAAGUUAUACUAUAUAAAUUACUUGAAAGUCUUUAACAGAGAAAAAUAUUAGGGUAAUGCCAAAUGAGUUUAGCGCUUUUGAUCAAAUGUUCUCUCACUCAAAUAUUUUAAACUAAUGGUUGACUUCCGCUUUUAUAGCAAGGUAGUUUUUCUUUUUUGGCUAAAAGAAAAUAUUGGUGACAUUUUCAUGAAAGCAAGCAGUUGUUCAUUCAGGGAUAUAUAUUACUUGACAACACUGACUCUAAAUUCAGUUUGGUAAAUUAAUUGACAGAUGCAAGCAUUUAGGAGUAUUUCCUUGCCACUAAAAAAAGGUGGAUAGAAACAGAACAAAAGAUAUAACUCUCACCCAGCUCCAAUAUAUGUAAUACUAGCGCUUCAUAUAUUGGGGGGCUUUCAUACAUUUUAUGAAAAAUAAAUUUAGUUCAACAUUGGGGAAAGGAUUUUCUUUUAAAGUCUGCAUUUAUGCUUCUUGAAAAGUACUACUCAAUCAUCAACUUACUUAGGAUUCUUUCAUCAGGCACCUCUUUCAACUCAGGUUGCAACCUGACAGAUAAACUUGCUGCUUUGUGGCAGGUAUGUCCUAUUCACAGUGGUUUACUUCCAGCUGACAUGAAAAUAAUCAAACCAACCUGGAAUAAAAUCAGAAGGAUGGGUUCUACUCGCUAACAGAUGGAGUUGAUACUCUUUCACUCUCUCUGUGUUAUGCUAUAUGAUUUUAUCAGCCUAACCAAACCUAGAAAGCAUAGUUGUUCUUUCUGGCUUGAUUUUCUAUGAAGAACAACUACUACUAGCCCUCCUUUGCUUAAUACACAAAAUUCAUAGUAUACUAGUUCUGUGGGGUAAGCAGCCCUAUUUAGGAAUUCUUAUCUCAGCUUAUGUGAAUGGAACUCUGCUGUGGAGCACUAUCCUCUGUUUGCCAGUGUGAUGUACGUGCUCCUCCAUGUGUAUGGCACAGACAUCUGCAGUCAAGAGACUUGCACACAUACAGCUUAGAUCUCACCUCUAGAGAUUCCUGCACUAUACAUGUGGUGCCAUGGGGGCUAUGUCAUGUGCCCCCACCCCAUUCUUCAUUCAUGCAUUCAGGUAGGCUGGCAAUAUGAAUGCCUAAACAGGGCUAGCAUUUUUUUUACUUUGUAUAGUCACACAGGGAGAACACACAGAUCUGUUUUGGAGUGUGUCAGUGCUGUGGCAGAUGUGCAAGCAAUUGUGUCUGGAUUGCAGCAUUUAUCUACAAUAGAAAUGUGUGCAUUCCUCACAUGUGGGAGACAUCCAAUUCUCUACAUGAAGUAGCUCAGUGUAGAGCUGUGUAAUAAGCUUCACAUUGAGCUUACUACACAGUGUAAUAAUAGGCUAUUACUGUUGACUGUUACGCAGACUGUUCAUCAUGUGUAAAGAUGUUAAUAUCUGUCACCUAAGCUGUUCACAUUUCCAACUAAGUUUUAUGAUUGCCAAUAUACUCUUGAUAGUGUUUCACUGUAACUAUGAACUGUUAUUGGCAUAACGCUUUGGAAAUACUCCAGGAAACUCUUAAAAUAUGGUUUUACGAAUGAUGAGUCACUUGUGAGUUCCAAGGAAAUUUAAUUGACAUUACACAGCUCUUACCUGCAGUUUAUUCCAUUAUAUUAUUCUAGUCCGAGCAUAUCUGAAACCUUUGUGUUCUUUAUUCAAAAACAGUGUUGUCUUAUCAAAAUUCUGUGGCCCCUCAAAGCUGAUGGAUAUUUAAUGUAUGUAAUGCAGUGCUAUUGCAACAUUUUCAAUAAAGGAAUUUAUGCAUUCA